rnacentral:rRNA from 1 species
UAAGAGCUUGCUCUUAUGAAGUUAGCGGCGGACGGGUGAGUAACACGUGGGUAACCUGCCCAUAAGACUGGGAUAACUCCGGGAAACCGGGGCUAAUACCGGAUAAUAUUUUGAACCGCAUGGUUCGAAAUUGAAAGGCGGCUUCGGCUGUCACUUAUGGAUGGACCCGCGUCGCAUUAGCUAGUUGGUGAGGUAACGGCUCACCAAGGCAACGAUGCGUAGCCGACCUGAGAGGGUGAUCGGCCACACUGGGACUGAGACACGGCCCAGACUCCUACGGGAGGCAGCAGUAGGGAAUCUUCCGCAAUGGACGAAAGUCUGACGGAGCAACGCCGCGUGAGUGAUGAAGGCUUUCGGGUCGUAAAACUCUGUUGUUAGGGAAGAACAAGUGCUAGUUGAAUAAGCUGGCACCUUGACGGUACCUAACCAGAAAGCCACGGCUAACUACGUGCCAGCAG